rnacentral:lncRNA from 1 species
UUGUUUCGUUAGUUCCGUCACGCCACCACCAUUGCCGCACACCUUAGUUCCGUUCCGCACGACCGUCCGAAGCUCUCAUUGUGUGUCUCCGGUUAUCGGGUCCGUCGUUGUAAUUCCCCGAUCUCGAUCAGCCACCACACCUCUCACGUUCGAUCGAUCGCCACCGCUAUCGUAGUUUCUUCUCGGCUCUCUGUGACGCAGCCACCAUCGUCGCCACUUGAAACCGAUCCGACACACCGAGGUUCUGCAGUCCUUGGUUUAGUUUGCGUGACCAUCCGAAGAGCGAAUCACGUGCUUUCGGUUAGCUCCGUUAGACUAUUGAGGUAUAUGGGAAAUUAGUUAACCCGGUUAAAUCGUCCAGUAUAACCUGGUUCAACCGAUGGAACCAUUUAUAAGCUUAAUCCGGUGUUUGAUUUUUGUGGACGACUUGAUUUUUUCUGGGUUUUGCUUUGCUGACUAAUAAGGUCUGAAGGACACUUACGUAAAACCUACGUAAACCCCACGCGUACCACUGUCCUCGGGGAAGGGCACUCACUUAAAACCUACGUGACCUUGUCGUUAGAUAUAUGGAGCUUGCAUAGGGAGGAGCAGGUCGUUGUGGAGCAUGGAUCGUGGAUGCCAUGUUAAAACAUUUAAACAUUUGAACUUAUGAUAUAUAUUGGGUUU